GAUGAACGCUGGCGGCGUGCCUAAUACAUGCAAGUAGAACGCUGAAGGAAGGAGCUUGCUCUUUCCGGAUGAGUUGCGAACGGGUGAGUAACGCGUAGGUAACCUGCCUGGUAGCGGGGGAUAACUAUUGGAAACGAUAGCUAAUACCGCAUAACAGUAGAUGUUGCAUGAUAUCUACUUAAAAGGUGCAAUUGCACCACUACCAGAUGGACCUGCGUUGUAUUAGCUAGUUGGUGAGGUAACGGCUCACCAAGGCGACGAUACAUAGCCGACCUGAGAGGGUGGUCGGCCACACUGGGACUGAGACACGGCCCAGACUCCCACGGGAGGCAGCAGUAGGGAAUCUUCGGCAAUGGGCGGAAGUCUGACCGAGCAACGCCGCGUGAGUGAAGAAGGUUUUCGGAUCGUAAAGCUCUGUUGUAAGGGAAGAAAGAGUGUGAGAGUGGAAAGUUCACACUGUGACGGUAUCUUACCAGAAAGCGACGGCUAACUACGUG
rnacentral:rRNA from 1 species